UACGGAGGGUGCGAGCGUUAUUCGGAAUCACUGGGCGUAAAGGGCGCGUAGGCGGCCUGGUAAGUCAGGGGUGAAAUCCCACGGCUCAACCGUGGAAUUGCCUUUGAAACUGCUGGGCUUGGAUCCUGGAGAGGGUGGCGGAAUUCCUGGUGUAGGAGUGAAAUCCGUAGAUAUCAGGAGGAACACCGGUGGCGAAGGCGGCCGCCUGGACAGGUAUCGACGCUGAGGCGCGAAAGUGUGGGGAGCAAACAGG
rnacentral:rRNA from 1 species